UUGUCUUUUUGCCAUUUCUUGGGCCGCUCCUGCGGCAUAUGGGAGGUUCCCAGGCUAGGGGUCUAAUCAGAGCUGUAGCCGCCAGCCUACGCCAGAGCCACAGCAACUCGGGAUCCGAGCAGCGCCUGCGACCUACGCCACAGCUCACGGCAACGCCGGAUCGUUAACCCACUGAGCAAGGGCAGGAAUCGAACCUGCAACCUCAUGGUUCCUAGUCGGAUUCGUUAACCACUGCGCCACGACGGGAACUCCCUAUUAUUGUUUUUUAAUCGGCAGUUUUAAUGAGCACCCCAGAUCGUUUUCAAGAAGAGAUAUCUGAGGACGACUCUUCGAAAUCCACAGUAAGCUCUUAUCUGUCUCAACGUGUUGAGUCUUCCUUGAAAACAUGGUUCAAAUAAAUUCUCAAAGAAGAAGGAGGAGGAGGAAAAGGAGGAAGAAAAAGAGAAAUGGAAGAGAGGAGCCUGUUAUUUUGAGAAAAGUGGUCCGCGGGGCAGGCGUCAGGGUUCCCGGGCUGAGCUGCUCACAUUGACCUUCUUCUGCCCAUCGCCACCACGCACUGGCGAGGCUUGAGCAGAGGGUGCCUCUGACAUUUGCCCAGCUGUUCCCACACCACCUCAACGAGUGAGUACUCUGGCAAGGGGUAUGCUCUGGCAUACCAGGCAUUUUUAGCAUCCCCUCACAGCGUCAAGUGAGCCCCAAAGCCUUGAUACCAAACAGGCGAGGCAGGACCAACUCUAGGUCCUGGGAGAGGAGGUCUUUCAGUUUUCCACCCAAGAGUGUCUGCCCCAGCAAUUACUAUCAGACACCUGCUCCCUUCACUAAGAGGAGAGGCAGGGGCCAGAGACUUAAUUUUCCCUGAUGUGGUCUUCUUAUUGCUGAUCUAGGGUGAUGGUACCAUUGGGCAUUUGGGGCCCUUUAAAUCAGCAACUGCUCAGUACAAGAGUUGAACUCUUGUAGUUUUAAGUAGUGGCUUAAAACUCACUUUGUGCCAGGCAACAGUCUAAGUAAUCCACCUGAACCAACUCAUUGCGGCUUCUCAGCCACAGCCUGAGAAAGUACUAGGAUUGUAUUAAUUUUCCAGGAGACCCAAGAUUCCAGGUAGGGCAGUCUGACUCUACAGCCAAAGUUCUUUUUUGUUGUGUUUUGUUUCUGGGAUGCACCUGAGGCAUACGGAAGUUCCCCAGCCAGGGAUCCAACCUGAGUCACAGCAGUGGCAAUGGAGGAUCCUUAACCGCUAGGCCACCAGGGAACUCCCAAAGUUCUAUAUUUGGCUCUACUGCUUGUAUGUUUUGAGGAGUCUCAGCUCUCCCUUGACUGUGGCUCAUGACCCCGAAGAGCUCCUUAGCUGUCCCUUUCUUACUUUUCCCAUCUGCAUCUUUGUUCUGCAGGAAUGAGGACCAAUCAAAGAGGAGUCCAUGUCUGGAGAAUAACACAGACAGCCUCGUGCCCUUCUUUGCGGAGGUGAGGGGUUGGGAGAACGAAAGACGCUAUAAUGAUGAGUUACUGCCUGGAUCUGAAACAGACACACCUACCAAGAUGCACGGGGCGUAGACUCAGGAGAUAAUCAGCUGACUGGUUAUCCGAAACCAAUUCCUGCCACGGAUUUGUCUUCCUAUUUUGUUUCCUUGACAUUUUUCAUGGCCGUGGAGCUGUCAUAAACAGCAGCCUGCCGUCGACUCCAUGAAAAUCCACAUCUAUCCUUUCUCUUCUUUUUUACCUCUGAGUCCUGGGAGCCUGACUCAGUCCAGAGAGGAGACAUGAGGGCACGGCCAAAGAGGAAUAUAUACAAUAUUAAUGAGCCAUUCAGAAGAAUGAAUAUUAUUAUGUGAAGGAGCUGCCUGCCAACCUCUCCCUGUGUAUAUCAACCUGCAUGCUGAGCUCUGUAACAACACGGAAUUAAGCCAAUGUCUCCUCUUUUCAGGGGUUGCUCACUCAAUCUGCUGUUAACUCUCAAUGACCAAUUGAGAAAUGAGUACUUCAUUCCCUAAAGGCAGAAGGCUUUGCUCCAUACUAUUUUUUAUGAUGUAAGAUUGAAAAUUGUUCAGAUCAAUUUAGCUGCACCCAAUAUGCCCCUACAGCUCACCAAACAAACCAGCUAUUUGGGGCGGGGAACACCUACUUCACCCAAACAGCUUCCCUGAAGGCACUUGCACAUAUCCUAAAAACAGACUUUGUUUUCAAGUUAGCCUAUCUUUCCUGGAAAAUCCCAAAUGCCAAGAAGUUGGGCAUUUUGCUGUCCCUGUGAGCUGCUGCUGAUGGGUGGCUUUUCUUUACACUGAAAGACUUUCCUAUGAGAUGCCUGCCUGUCUUUCCCUCUGACAACUGCAGUCUAUCAAGGGGAUGGUAAGAAAGAAGCCCACAGAGAGCCUUUCCAUCACCAGCACGGUCCUGGGACAGUCUGGGCAGCCAGCUGUUUCUUGCUUCUUGCUUGGCAUUUUGCUGGGUCUCAGGAAUCUUUCUGUCCUUUGCUUCCCACGAUUAGUGCUGUGUUCUGGCUGCUCUGGUAGGUUGUGACUCUGAAGGUUAAAAAAAAAAGGACUGAUUUCCACAUGGGGCCGGUAGAAUCAGUGUCACGCACGGCUCUGCCGCCACACCUUGUAAACCUGGCCAGGCUACAAGCCUGUGUCUGUCCCUCGCGGUUCCGAGAACAAUCCUCGGCCAGCACUGACAGGAAAGGCCAUUAUGGUGGCUGAUGCUCUCACCAUCUGGAGUGGUUACAGUUGUCAGCAUCUGAGAUGACUCACGGGCGCCGAGGAAUCAUUUCACUAAUUUAAGCACUAAUCAGGAGGGAGGAAGCCGUUGCUAAGUGCUGCUGCGUGAAGAAAAUACCCCGCCAGAUGAAAAGGAAGGACCAUUGACUUGGUCUUAGCCAUUUGAAAAUAAAGUGGCUUGGGAUGUCCUUCUCGGUGGCAUCUAAUAACAGGCCAUCCCUCGUGGGAGGGGCCGGGCCAGCUUCAGGAGCGCUGGCUGGGUCUCUGGCCAGAGAGGACCCAUCCCUCCUCUCCAGGACCAGCUGUGCCCUGCGAGUCCAGGCAGUUCCCUGACAGAGUCUCAGCAGUUUGGUGUGGGAAGAGCAAUGCAAACACAUGGGGAUACAGGUUUUUUAGGUGACAUCCUCCCUUGGGUGUUUGCUCUCCUGCUGUUCCGUGCAAAUGGUGACCUCAGCAGAGGCGCCCCAUAGCUGUCAGAGGUGCCCCAUAGCUGUCAGAGUCGGGCCCUUCAGAAAGUCCCAUCAGCAGCUGGAGGCUCAGAGCUGGUCACCUAGCUCAUCCUGAAACUUAACUCUUGCCUCUGGCAGGAAUCAGCUCUGACAACCCCUUGAUUUUGGACUGCAAGCUCCAGAACUGUGAGAGAAUACACUUCUGUGAUUUGUGAUCGUUUGUUACAGCAGCCCUAGGAAAUUAAUCCAGUGGGGGACCAGCAGACCUUAUAUGUCAUGA
rnacentral:lncRNA from 9 species